UUGUGCUUUCUUUUAAAUAAUACAAUGUUUAUGGUCAUCACUGUCACUGGAAAAAUAACCAAUUACACUUGCACAACAGGAGGGCGCAACCUGUUCAUUUUAAGUUUAUUAGACUCGAUUUGCAGCGCUGUAAUUCACAAAAAUCACCACAGGGGGGCGCAACACAUUCAUGUUCAUUAGAUUGAAUUUGAAGCAGUGUAAUUCACAAAAAUCACCACAGGGGGGCUUAACCCAUGUAAAUUCACUUCAAAAGUCAGAUGAUUGAAACGGGCCCUCUUGUGGUGAUUUCUGUGAAUUGCACCGCUGCAAAAAGUGUCAAACUAAUACUCUUCAGCUCCACGGAGCUCGUAUCCAUGUGUAUAUGAAUGAAGUAACUCAGGCUGGGUAGAAGAUGGUCACAGCAUCUGUGGGAUUUAAACACGCUUCUGUUGACGUUUAAUGACUGAAAGUCUCAAAUGUGAUGUUGACGCUUGAAUGCGAAGAGCAGCAGAAUGACAGAAACUGAAGUGCGGUUUUUCAUCCGCUCCACUAGGCGGCGCAAGCGGGUUUCGCCUUCAGUCUGACGCCUUCAGCUGCUUGACAACAUGACGCUUGAGAGUCACAACAACAACACGUGCAGAUCCUGCAGAUGACAGCUGUUUAUAUCACUAACAACACACGUUUCAGCUCAACUGCAAAUAAAAUCGACACAAAAUCCGACGAGACGCUGGAACCGAGUGUCACGCGACUCACCUAAUAAGUGAUGUGUUGUUGGUUGUAAACUGGUCCGGCUGAAGCAGAGCUCUGGGACGUGUGGACAGACAUUGACUGUAAUGAUGGACAUCUGCUCAGGGACAGUCUGUCUAAAAGUAUAACCGCUGCGUGUCACGGUGCUGGGAGCUCCAGGGGGAGACCGUGCUGAUAUCCCCCUUCUUCAGGCACGCCUUCACACACACUCCAGCAUUCACUCGUAUCGCAGAGACCUGGCUGGGAUCAAACCAGCAACCUCUGAACCCGUGAGGCAGCGCUCUUACCUGCGAGCCACAGGUCUCUUGCUGGAGCACAUGAAGGAACUUAUAUCUGACUGUUUACCUGUGAUUUCUCAAUAAAACGCUUAAAGUAAUCAGUGGGAUUUGAAUCCACAUCUCCAGCUCAGCUUUGUGUUCAGAGAACAUGUGUUUAUUCACUGGACCGUCAUGGAUUUCACAUUGAUUUGUGGAGUUUGAGUGACUUUGUUGGAUGAGAUCAGUUUAAAGUGAG